UUACGGUCAUAUCACGUUGGAACAUCGGUUCCUGUACGAACACCGAAGUUAAGCAACGUCGAGCAUGUUCAGUACCUAGAUAGAGGACUUCUUGGGAAUAUCAG